rnacentral:lncRNA from 1 species
GCGAAGUGUAUUUUCAAAGUAAACACACACACAAAUCAAAGACUUUGAUAUCGUCUCUGUACGUAUUAAUCAUGAAGACGUUGUGAGCUUUGUAUAGAAAGUGAGGGUAAUACUGAUGAAAUAAUGUUCCUCUUGGAAAAUCUGUGAAAUUGUAACGUUAAGAAAGCAGGAGAAAGGAUUAGAACUCUUUUUAAAAUGCGGUUGGAUCUACACAAUAUCAAACAUCAAAUUAGUGUCCAAAAGUUCAAUUUAAGAUCAAUAUCUCUAUGACUAGCAUUCUUACUUUAACCUCUUUAUAGUAAAAUAUUCAUGACUAUGGACACCUUUCAAAGCCUAAUUUCACGUACUUUUGAAAUUUGAAUUUUGAUUUUUUUUUCCCCUUAGGUUUUAAAUCCUCUUCCCUAACCUCAAAUUAAUGUGCAACUAAAGUCCCUUUUCCCAUGUUUCCAUCUUUCACACCAUUUUACUGGUUGACUAUUGCUGCUUCUCAAGGGGCAGGACUCCCAUUGUUUUGGACUUGAAUGUUCUCUUACUCCUUUUGGUUUUAGGAACAAUCUAUUUUGAAGUUCUUGUUUGUUUUCCAGCCCUUGAUCUGAGGAUGGGAGCUCCAAAGACGCAAAGGAGCUCCACUUCCCUGACUGCCUCCACUGGGGCAAAAGUGACAUUCAUCAGCUCCACGUGGAACUUUCCCAUGAAGCAAAUGAAUGGAGCAGAUGGUAGAUCAUGUGGCCCCAGAGAGAAAAAAGAGACUGAGAAAGUCGCUGCUUUUGCUCCUGAUGGUGGUCCAGGUCCUAGUUCAGUCUUCUGAGGACCGGCUGUACUUCCUCGCUGAGGUUCUAUGUCAUUUCCUUAUACUGUUAUAACAAAUCUCUCUGGCUUUAAAUUAGGUGGAAGCGAUUUCUGUUUCUUACACCUACACAAAUACUAAGAUGAUGCACAUGCAUCCAUGUGGAUCAUACAUCUAUAUUUAUCAUAUAUAUGUGUAUAUAUAAACAUGUAGAUGUAUUUAUAUUUAUAUAUGAUACACACUACGUGCAAAGAGGGUAGGUUUAAAACAGUGACAAAUAUUAAGACUUGGUCUCUACUUUCAUAUGACUCUUAACAAAACAGGCAGUAAAAGAUAAGUGCUCAGUGAGAGGAAACCACUGCAAAGGCUCUAAAGGAUUUGGAAGAGGAAGCUCACAUAUCCCAUAGCUGGGGUUGGCCAACUGAGGGAAGGGCUUGUGAGAAGGAGGAUGAGAAGUGGGCCCCACAUCACGACAAUGGACUAGGUAGGGUUUAGACAGGUGUCAAAGACAAGGGAGAGAAAGAAGUGAGGGGGAAAAAAGAGAAAGGCGAAAGGCGAUGAGGGUGUUUUUUGGGAGUUGGCAAAUGAUUAAACAACCUUGCUUUAUAGAGGAUUCAGAUGGCAAAUCGCUACCAAGGAGGCCCAAUAUCCCUGAGGUGGAAGCUCUCUGUGGGCCAAAAUCUUAAUUUUCUAAUGCAGAUUUUCAAAUUGAUUGAAUGGAUGAGAGUUAUUAACUAAGCCGAUGGACUUUUCCUCAUAAACACCACUAUUUGGAUAAUUCAUCAAAAUAAGAUUAUAAAAUCUACAAGAUAGAAUUUUUAUUUUUUAAUUUUGAAAACCAUGUUUGGUUAUAAGUGAUCGGCCAUUAUCUCCAAGUAACACAGAACAAUAUCCUAGUUUUUUUCCCCUAGAGGUAGACAGAAAUUCCUUCUUGUCUUCAGUGGAGCUCCAGUUUCACACACACUUACAGACACAGGCACACAAACGCAUGAUAGAAUGUCAGAGCAGUAGAGAGCCCUCA